GGAGCAACUCAGUCGAGAUUCCUACGGGAGGCAGCAGUAGGGAAUAUUGGUCAAUGGACGAGAGUCUGAACCAGCCAUGCCGCGUGCAGGAAGACGGCCUUCUGGGUUGUAAACUGCUUUUCUCAGGGAAGAAAAUGGUCUUGCGAGACAAAUUGCCGGUACCUGAGGAAUAAGCACCGGCUAACUCCGUGCCAGCAGCCGCGGUAAUACGGAGGGUGCGAGCGUUGUCCGGAUUUAUUGGGUUUAAAGGGUGCGUAGGCGGCCUAUUAAGUCAGUGGUGAAAGGUAUCAGCUUAACUGAUGAUGUGCCAUUGAAACUGACAGGCUUGAGUACAGACGAGGUAGGCGGAAUUUAUGGUGUAGCGGUGAAAUGCAUAGAUACCAUAAAGAACACCGAUAGCGAAGGCAGCUUACUAGGCUGAGACUGACGCUGAGGCACGAAAGCGUGGGGAGCGAACAGGAUUAGAUACCCUGGUAGUCCACGCUGUAAACGAUGAUUACUGGAUGUGUGCGAUAAACAGUACGCGUCUGAGCGAAAGCGUUAAGUAAUCCACCUGGGGAGUACGAUCGCAAGAUUGAAACUCAAAGGAAUUGACGG
rnacentral:rRNA from 1 species